AUGUUAAUAAAAUUAAUUAAUAAAAUUAUUGUAUGUGUUUGUUGUAUAGUGCUGCACUUAAAACGAUUGACGAAAAACUGCACAAGGACAAUGAGCGAUCUGCUAAAAAGAUUCAGAGUGAGCUUCUGUUUAGAAUACAGUUAAAAGCAUCAGUCUGCAAUAUUAGAAAACCAGUAAAACAACUCAGGUGGACCUCUGGAAAAGCCAGGCUAUUUGCUUUAUACGAGCUUACAUGUCCUACAAAUUUAUUAAUAGGACAGACCCUAUUAAUAAACUGCCAUGUUGUGAAACCGAAAGCAAAGCAUCCAGAAAAAUUCAUGUCUGGGGAGCCAAAUUCCAUCAGGGACCUGGACCGCUAGUUGUGUUAGAAGGAAUUAUGGACAGAUGUUUUUACGAAGACACUAUAAUAAAAUUCAAUCAGGCUCCAUACGUAAAACAACACUUUAAGAACCACAUCGCUUCUUCCAAGUUAGAUACAGUAUGUAGGCCUA